rnacentral:lncRNA from 1 species
AUCUUAUGUAAAUCUGUGUGGCAGUAAAGAAUCCCUAGCAUUUGAAGUGGAAACUCUUCCUUCCACCAGAUGGCAGAGUAGUAUUAAAAAGCAAGCAAAGAAUCAACUACUGUAGACAAACUGGUGGUGAAUUUGCAAGAAUUAUCAAACACAUCAAACAGAUUCCUUUUGGCUUUAGAUUUGACUAAUGAAGCAAAAGAAGCAUAUCUCUUGAGAGAGAAAAGAAAAAGAUUUAAAAUCCAUUAGAAUCUAAGCUUCACCAAGUAGAAGGUGGGCUCGUUGAGAGCAUAUAUAUAUAUAUGCUGGCAAUAAAUACUGGAUGGAUGGAUGGAAGGGUAAGUAAAUUAGGAAAAAAGCUAAAACAAAAUUGUUUUAUUCACACUUCACUUGUUUUCCUUUUUUUUUUUUUUUUUUUUUUUUUUUUUUUUUUUUUUUGUAGAUUCCGAUUCCUCUUCCUUUUCCUUAUUAUCCAAAUCAGGUCCUAACACUUAAUGAUCUUAUAACGGUAAAUAUAUCUGUCCUGUUAAUCUAUAAAGUUCAUAAACAUAUUACAUUCAACUCCCUUUAUAAGAUAGGCCAGCUCAUCAUAAAAAUUUCUGUCUUUAUUAGUCUAAUUCAUUUCGAAACAAAAUAAAUCACAGCUGUUAAAUUCAAAGUCAAAAAACAAUCUCAGUUCAUUUCUACAUUCUACAAACAAACAGUUCUACAUUCAUUAUUCAAUUCAUACAAACUAUAAAUUGACAAAACAACCUUUUCCAUCACUGAUGAGGGUGAAAGUGAAGAGUCAAAAGACUUAGGACUUACAGAAUAAAUUCCUUUUGGAGAAAUGAAAAAGACUUAUUUCUUCACUAAUGAAGCAUUAGCAUAAACACAUUAUACAUUAAAGAUUAUCAAAGCUAAGUUCCAAUAGAUAAUGCUGCUUUUUUUUUUUUUUUUGGAUGAAAGGCACACAAUUCAAUUUUUUAAUAAGGCCCUUUAUUGAUACAGUAAGUUAUUCAGAAUAUUAGUUCAUGAAAACAGAGGAGAAAUACUUGAGUGGAGUUACAAAAGAUAACACUGAAAAAUUCCAUUUCCUUAUCUAAAAACAUACUUUUCAUACUUAAACAUUUUCUGAAAUCAAGACACAUCUCACAACAGAUACAUUUAUUCUAAGAUUUCUUUUUUCUUUAAAAUACUAUCACUUAAAAUGGUACAUUUUACAAUUGGUGGUAUCUUAGAAUCAGGGACAUGGCAGUAUUUUGUAAAAAUGUCAGAAACUCAGGCCUAAAUCAUUUGUGUGCCGGAGAUAAAAUUUUUCAGGAUUUGAGACUAUUUAAAGCCAACCAUCUUGAGGAAUAUUUAAGUGUCCCAGAAACUUGAGACCAAACAAGCUUCUGAGUCUAAUCAAUAAGAACCUAAGUCUCUUGAGUUCAAGUGCUAGUGCUCUUCCCAUAAUCCACUCUGUUUAAGCAAUGUUAUAGUCCAUUUCCAAAUGGAGACAAUAAAAAUUCUAGCAUAUUUCUAACGAAAAAUGUUUUAGGAAACUGCCUUCAAUGAUUAAUCAUUAACGAUUACAAAAUUGGCAAGUUCACCUUUAUAUCAAAACCUGCAGAAAGAGCACUGGCCUGUGGUUGGAAAGCCUAGAUUCAAACCUCUCUUAGAUUCUAAUUUCUCUCUUGAUUUAAAUCUCUUUUACAAUUAAAUUAGCUGUGUGACCCUGGGUAAAGGUAUCGGUUUACCUCCCAGGUCUCUUCCAGUGCAAAUAUACUCCUCAGAUACUCAUUCACAUUACCAGAUCUGGACACUUAAUACCUAUUUAUACUUUCUUUUUUGGAAAAUUUUUAGAAGUACUCUUGGCCACAACCUAUAUCCUGGAAAGAAUUCUGACAGAAUAACUUCUAGAACUGCCAUACCUUCAUAGCCCAGGAUUCUCCCAGGAAUCCUAGUUAAGUCAGAAAGCAGGAAGAGUCACCCUUAAGAAACAAACACCGGGGCGCCUGGGUGGCGCAGUCGGUUAAGCGUCCGACUUCAGCCAGGUCACGAUCUCGCGGUCCGUGAGUUCGAGCCCCGCAUCGGGCUCUGGGCUGAUGGCUCAGAGCCUGGAGCCUGUUUCCGAUUCUGUGUCUCCCUCUCUCUCUGCCCCUCGCCCGUUCAUGCUCUGUCUCUCUCUGUCCCAAAAAUAAAUAAACGUUGAAAAAAAAAAAAAAAAAAAAAAAAAAAAAAAAAAAAAAAAAAAGAAACAAACACCACCUCAGGUAUUGUUCUUGCCUAAGCAAACAUUGGGACAGUGUUUGACUUACAUAUUCUUGCAUACACACCGGGAUGGACAGCUCUACAAAUACGAAGGGAUUCACUUUCUUUCACUGGUCAAUUCCUUGAGCAAGCUGCCAGUCUGUUACGACAGAAGGACCCGUGGAAGCUACAAAGCAAUACUUUUCCAGUGACAAGUGACACCGCUUGUGUAAACAAACUCUUGAAGCCAAGUAUUUAUAGUUGUCCUAAAAUUUUGGGUCAAGUAUCAUUCACAUAGGGAAUUUUCAUACUUCAAGAAACCUAGCACUUGCAUGGAUAUGUACACGGUGAGUUUCUUAACUGUUCAAGUUUUUAUUCUUUAGAUACAGUAAAUACAAUUACAAUAAGAUAUUUCUGUGAAUUAAGGGAAUUUAAAUCUAGAUAUUGCACAUUCAUUUUAAAAUCUUAUAUCAUGUAAAUAAACCUCUAAAUAAAAUGGAAUUCAUUUUUCAAUAAAAACAAAUUUUCAUAUAGAAAAUCUUCUAGCUUAUAUGUGUGCUAAGUUACAAAUAUGUUAAAAAAUAAACCCAUUAACAGCACUAGCAUUGAUCGAUUUUUCUUCUUUCAGUUAAUCACUUCUAUUCUGAACGAACUUGAGGUAAGUUCAUAUUAAUUUUAAUGUUUAUUUAUUAUUGAGAGACACAGAGAGACAAAGCAUGAGCACUGGAGGGGCAGAGAGAGGGGAGACACAGAAUCUGAAGCAGGUUCCAGGCUCUGAGCUGUCAGCACAGAGCCGGAUGCGGGGCUCAGACUCACAAACCACGAGAUCAUGAUCUGAGCAGAAGUGAUGCUUAACCAACUGAGCCACCCAGGCGCCCCUCAUAUUAAUUUUUAAGUUAUUAUAAAGUAUAAACCUAUUUAAUGGACUGAGGGUAAUGUCUUUUUUUUUUUUUAUCUUUUAGGGCUUCUUUGGGGUAAGACUUUAUUUCUAUGAUUAUAUUGAUAAAAACAAGUGACAUUUAAUAUCAGGAAAGGUAAGAAUAACUCUCCUCAACUAUAAAAAUAUAUGGCAGAAUCAAACCCAACUGACUUACCCAAAUUAGAGCUCCUGAGUUAUAAACUCUAAACAAUUUAGAUCAGAAUUUCUGCAGGUCUAAAAAGGUAUUUUCAUAAUGCCAUGGUAUUUGACAAAAUUUCAGCCUACGAAGUAUAUGCAAUGUUAAGAAAUUUCAAACAGUAAAUUUUUCCUCAAGCUUGUUUUUGUUUUAUGGACAAUUCAUAGUAAGCAGUGAGAAAAGUCUGCUGUGAAACUACCAAAUCUAGAAAUGGCCUCAUUUCAAGGCAAAGGCAAAACAUCUCCUUAACACCAAAGCAUCAGCUUGCUGGAUGGAGAGGCUACAAAUCUUGAGACUUCUUUGAUUCUCAUCCAAGUUUGUUCUCACUUUAAAAUAUAUACAAAAGAUAAGCUUUGUGCAGUGGGUAUAUCAUAGCCAAUGAAGUUUAUCCAAGGCACGAUUAUUGCUAAUUGAAAAUACAUACAAAAGAUAUAUUCCUUUUUUAAAUAUCUGAAUUAAUGUCAAUCAAAAUUAUUGUAUAUAAAUUAAUGUUA